rnacentral:rRNA from 1 species
GACGAACGCUGGCGGCGUGCCUAAUACAUGCAAGUAGAACGCUGAAGGAGGAGCUUGCUCUUCUGGAUGAGUUGCGAACGGGUGAGUAACGCGUAGGUAACCUGCCUGGUAGCGGGGGAUAACUAUUGGAAACGAUAGCUAAUACCGCAUAAAAGUGAUUAUUGCAUGAUAGUCGAUUAAAAGUUGCAAUUGCAACACUACCAGAUGGACCUGCGUUGUAUUAGCUAGUUGGUGCGGUAACGGCUCACCAAGGCAAGGAUACAUAGCCGAACUGAGAGGGGGAUCGGCCACACUGGGACUGAGACACGGCACAGAGUCCUACAGGAGGCAGCAGUAGGGAAUCUUCGGCAAUGGACGGUAGUCUGACCGAGCAACGCCGCGUGAGUGAAGAAGGUUUUCGGAUCGUAAAGCUCUGUUGUAAGAGAAGAAAGAGUGUGCGAGUGGAAAGUUCACACUGUGACGGUAUCUUACCAGAAAGGGACGGCUAACUACGUG